rnacentral:rRNA from 1 species
UACAGAGGGGGCAAGCGUUGUUCGGAAUUACUGGGCGUAAAGGGCGCGUAGGCGGCCUGUUAAGUCGAACGUGAAAUCCCCGGGCUCAACCCGGGAACUGCGUCCGAUACUGGCAGGCUUGAAUCCGGGAGAGGGAUGCGGAAUUCCAGGUGUAGCGGUGAAAUGCGUAGAUAUCUGGAGGAACACCGGUGGCGAAGGCGGCAUCCUGGACCGGUAUUGACGCUGAGGCGCGAAAGCCAGGGGAGCAAAACAGGG